rnacentral:rRNA from 1 species
GACGAACGCUGGCGGCGUGCUUAACACAUGCAAGUCGAACGGAAAGGCCCCAGCUUGCUGGGGUACUCGAGUGGCGAACGGGUGAGUAACACGUGGGUGAUCUGCCCUGCACUCUGGGAUAAGCCUGGGAAACUGGGUCUAAUACCGGAUAGGACCGUGCUUUAGUGUGUGCGGUGGAAAGUUUUUCGGUGCAGGAUGAGCCCGCGGCCUAUCAGCUUGUUGGUGGGGUAAUGGCCUACCAAGGCGGCGACGGGUAGCCGGCCUGAGAGGGUGUACGGCCACAUUGGGACUGAGACACGGCCCAGACUCCUACGGGAGGCAGAAGUGGGGAAUAUUGCACAAUGGGCGCAAGCCUGAUGCAGCGACGCCGCGUGGGGGAUGACGGCCUUCGGGUUGUAAACCCCUUUCGGCAGGGACGAAGCUUUUGUGACGGUACCUGCAUAAGAAGCACCGGCUAACUACGUG